UCUGGUUGAUCCUGCCAGAUCCGACUGCUAUCCGGGUAAGACUAAGCCAUGCGAGUUGAAUGGGAAACCCUGUUUCACAUGGCAUACUGCUCAGUAACAAGUGAUCAACUUACCCUUCAGUGGUGAAUAACCUCGGGAAACUGAGGAUAAUACACCAUAGUUAGAAAAGCCUGGAAGGGUUUUCUAUCAAAAGAUCUUUUCAAAUGGGAGAAGUAUCGCUGAAGGAUAGGAUCGCUCCUGAUUAUGGUUGUUGGUGAGGUAGAGGCUCACCAAGCCUAUGAUUAGUAAGGGCCGUGAGAGCGGGAGCCCUGAGAUGGGUACUGAGACAAUGACCCAGGCCUUACGAGGCGCAGCAGGCGCGAAACCUUGUCAAUGCACGAAAGUGUGAACAGGUUACCCGGAGUGCUAGGAGAACAACUCCUGGCUGUUAUAGGGUGUUAACUAACCCUAGAAGAAAGGAGAGGGCAAGGCUGGUGCCAGCCGCCGCGGUAAAACCAGCUCUUCAAGUGAUCGGGAUUAUUAUUGGGCUUAAAGUGUUCGUAGCCGGUUUAGUAAGUUCCUGGUUAAAUCUGACAGCUUAACUGUCAGCCUGCUAGGAAUACUGCUUUACUAGGGGGCGGGAAAGGUUCGAGGUACUCCAGGGGUAGCGGUGAAAUGUGAUAAUCCUUGGGGGACCACCAGUGGCGAAGGCGUCGAACUGGAACGCGCCCGACGGUGAGGGACGAAAGCCAGGGGAGCGAACGGGAUUAGAUACCCCGGUAGUCCUGGCUGUAAACGAUGCGCGCUAGGUGUUGGUAGGGCUAUGAGCUGUAUCAGUGCCGUAGGGAAACUGUUAAGCGCGCCGCCUGGGAUGUACGCACGCAAGUGUGAAACUUAAAGGAAUUGGCGGGGGAGCACCACAAGGGGUGAAGCCUGCGGUUCAAUUGGACCCAACGCCGGGAAACUUACCGGGGGCGACAGCAGAAUGAAGGUCAGGCUGACGACCUUACCAGACAAGCUGAGCGGAGGUGCAUGGCCGUCGACAGUUCGUGCCGUGAGGUAUCCUGUUAAGUCAGGCAACGAACGAGACCCAAACACUUAGUUGCUAGAAAGAGCCUUAGGGUUCGUUGGGAACGCUAAGUGGACUGCCAUCAUACAGAUGGAGGAAGGAGUGGGCCACGGCAGGUCAGUAUGCCCCUAAUCCCCCGGGCCACACGCGGGCUGCAAUGGUAUGGACAAUGGGCUGCGACUCCGAAAGGAGGAGCCAAUCCCUAAACCAUAUCUCAGUUGGGAUUGUCGGCUGUAACCCGCCGACAUGAACGUGGAAUCCCUAGUAAUCGUGUGUCAUCAUCGCACGGUGAAUACGUCUCUGCUCCUUGCACACACCGCCCGUCGCUCCACCCGAGUAUUGUAUAAUUGAAAAAUGGUCCUCUGGGUCGUUUUGAAAUUGUAUAAAGCAAGGGGGGAGAAGUCGUAACAAGGUA
rnacentral:rRNA from 1 species